UAAAAGUGAAAAGGUUUGUCUAUAUCUGAUAACUAUGGAUGUUAUAAAUGUGUGUGAUAUUUUUCUAGAUAUUUUUUUAUUCAUGGCUUAUCAGAAAAACCUGACAGCCUGUUGAUUUAAGAUACGUUAUCACAUUAGAUAUGUUUACAUAGUGUCAGUGAUGAAGUCACUGAGUCUAAUGUAAUUUAACAUCUUAAUGUCUUUUGCAGGUUCCUGACCUACAGUCCUAAGCACAGAUCUAGGAUCAGAUCAUCCUCAUCAAAUCCAAACCAGGACCUUAUUAAACCACAAGGGGAAACCUGACCUCAGACCAGCGUUAAAACCUCACAUCUUCCUGCCCAGACACUGACACUCCGUCCAGAAUUCCUCUGCGCUCCAGCCGUCCAUCCAUCCAUCCAGCUGUCCAUCCAUCCAUCCACACCCCAGCCAUCCAUCCAUCCAGCUGUCCAUCCAUCCAUCCACACCCCAGCCAGCCAGCCAUGGGUCUGAUGAGCGAGGACAUGGAGUGCUGUGUCUGCCUCCAGCCCUACUCUCGCAAGGAGAAGAUUCCUCGGAUGCUCCACUGUAAGCACACAUUCUGUGGGCUGUGCUUGCAGGCGAUGUCCAGGCUCCAGAGCGGCCUACUGACAGUCUGCUGCCCCCUGUGCCGUUGGAUCACCUGCACCGAGCCCAGCCUCACCCUGCCGGGGUCGCUGUGGGUUAACACUGAGAUCUGGGACCAGAUACUAGACAGAAAACAGGAAGAGGAGGAGGAGGAGGAAGAGGAGGAAGAGUGGAAGGGAGCUAACAGACAGACACAGACCACUACACAGUACAAAUGUUCUACAUCAAGGCAUUGUGGCCUGAGGCUCAAACUACAGAAUUUCCUGAGGAGGAUGAAGCACAAUGUACUGUAAACCGAAAAGACGAAGAGCAGAGAAAGAAGACUGGAUUUUCCCAUUUCAGAGUAGGAGAUACUUAUUGAGUAAUGAAGCUAAUUCAUAAAACAGGACCGACUGGUGAUUUUCCAUAAUGAAGCAAGAUUGAACCAAUUAUUCAUAUGCUUUGUGUUUGAUUGACUUUGGGUGUAAUGUUCUCAGUCAACUUACCUGGUAAAAUAAGGGUUCAAUUAUAAUAUUAAUAAUAUAGGAUGGAUAGGUGGAGGAAAUAAAAAAUAAGAUAUUAAAUGGAUUGAGGAAGAAAGAAAGAUAAAGGAAGUUAUGAAUAGAUGGAGAGACAGACAGACAGACAGACAGACAGACAGACAGACAGACAGACAGACAGACAGACAGACAGACAGACAGACAGACAGACAGACAGACAGACAGACAGACAGACAGACAGACAGACAGACAGACAGACAGACAGACAGACAGACAGACAGACAGACAGACAGACAGACAGACAGACAGACAGACAGACAGACAGACAGACAGACAGAUAGAUAGAUAGAUAGAUAGAUAGACAGACAGACAGAGGGGUGAAGGUUAGAGACUGUGUGCUGUACAAUGUGUGCUGUGUACAAUACAAUAUACUGUGAUCAAUGUUUAUAAUAAUGUUUAAUGAUUUGAUAAAAGGUGUAUUACUGCGUGAAGGAAGUGGAGGUUCAGUAUUUAUUAUGACAUCAUUUUAGAACAGCUUUAAUGUUGCAGAUUGUUUCUUUUAUCAAUGUAAUUGUCUGCAUCAUUUCCAGUCCCACAAACCAGGGAUGUUGGAUUUGUUGAUCCUCAUUGUACAUGUUUAAUUCAUCUGUUCUGUUUGAAGAGCAGGUUUUUUAUACUGGAAUUAUAUUUAUUGGUUAAUAAAUACAUCCACUUUAAAAUAACCCUGUCUUAGAGCUGUGAAAUUUCUAAUUAUUAUCAUUACAUUAGGAAAGUAACUGUCUGAUAUCCAACUAUUUAUGGAUCCCAAAUAGAGUUGGGGGUGUUAAUACACUUCACAUUCUACACUACUAUUUCCUAAAACACAAAACAAACCCUAAACAUUCCACUGUCCUUGGUUUUGGUGUGUGCAGUACAUGACUGAAAUCACUCUCUGACUAAUCAUGUCUCAGAGAGCCCUGUAUGCAUUCUUGCAUAUGAGAUUCCAUAAAAACACAUCACUUUGAUGAAGCAAUAACCGGAAUUGACUUUUUCGGAGCAGGUUAGGAGAAUUUAUGCAGCAUGUUGGGGAAUGAUUCUGUGAUUAAUUUCCUGCUGUGAGUUAUUGUUUUAUUUAACUAGGCAAGUCAGUUAAGAACAAAAUCUGAUUUUCAAUGACGGCCUAGGAACAGUGGGUUAACUGUCUUGUUCAGGAGCAGAAUGACAGAUUUCUACCUUGUCAGCUUGGAGAUACGAUCUUGCAACCUUUCAGUUACUAGUCAAAUGCUCUAAACACUAGCCAACACUGCCA
rnacentral:lncRNA from 1 species